UGUUGAGUUAGGUUUAGGGAUAGAUUUAAAGCUUUGGUUAGGGUUAAGAUUAAGUUUUAUGGUUGAUUCAUGGCUGAGUUUAGGUUUGGGGUUGGGUUUAGGUGUUGAGUUAGGUUUAGGGUUAGAUUUAAAUAUUUGGAUCGGGUUAGGGUUAAGUUUUAGAGUUGAUUCAUGGCUGAGUUUAGGUCUAGGGUUAAGUUUAGAUGUUGAGUUAGGUUUAGGGUUAGAUUUAAAUAUUUGGAUCGGGUUAGGGUUAAGUUUUAGAGUUGAUUCAUGGCUGAGUUUAGGUUUAGGGUUGGGUUUAGGUGUUGGGUUAGAUUUAGGGUUAGAUUUAAAGCUUUGGUUAGGGUUAGGGUUA